AGUGUUUGGAGAGAUCACUCAGGCAGCUGGAGGAAGGCAGAGCACAGGGGCCUGGCAGCAGGAGGACCAGUCAGGAGGCUGCCGAAGGACGAUGAAGGCUGAGUUGGGAGGAGGCAAUCAUGUCCUCUCAUGCUUACCUGUGUUCGUGAUGUCUCGGGAAGCGUAAAUUGAUGGUGUUUCAAAGAAAUCAAAAUGUGGAUAGAACCACUUUUCCCCUCAUAUGAGCAAACUCCCACUGACAAGGAACUGAGAGAGACUAUAGCAUUGCUGACAGCCCAACAGACUGCUCUGGAAAUUAUCGUCAACAUGUGCUGCAAUGAAGAUCCCUCUGAUGACGAAUGGGAAGAGCUUUCUAGCAGUGAUGAAAGUGAUGCAUUUAUGGAGAAUUCUUUCAGUGAGUGCGGGGGACAGCUGUUCUCUCCCCUCUGCCUCUCCCAUGAGGUUCACACGGCUCUCACCAACUACCUCAUCCCAAAGAAGAUUUUUGAGAAAACUGCCUUUCCAAACAGCAUUGCAGUUGACCUAUGUUCUAGGAACCCUACUUGGAAACCUUUGAUUAGAAAAAUGAACACUAUUCAGUGCAGAGCCCUCUUCUGUCUCCAGAGUCUUGUGUCCCUCCUGGAUGUGGAGCACCUGGGAGGAGCCGCAGCCCUUCAGACGCUUGCACAGCAUCUGUCACAGCUGCUUUUUUCUCAACCAGAUUUUGCUAAACAUGUUGACUUUCUAGAAGCCAUAAGUAGUGCUUUGAGGGCCCUUUUGCAAACAAUGGCCUCCAAGAACAUUUCCCAGGUAAGAGUUUUA
rnacentral:sRNA from 1 species